GAUGAAGAACGUAGCGAAAUGCGAUACGUAAUGUGAAUUGCAGAAUUCAGUGAAUCAUCGAAUCUUUGAACGCAUAUUGCGCUCUCUGGUAUUCCGGAGAGCAUGCUUGUUUGAGUAUCAGUAAACACCUCAACUCCCCUUUCUUUUUUGAAAUGGGAGCUGGACUUGAGUGAUCCCAACGCUUUUCUCACCGAAAAGUGGCGGGUUACUUGAAAUGCAGGUGCAGCUGGACUUUUCUCUGAGCUAAAAGCAUAUCUAUUUAGUCUGCCUAAAAAACAGAUUAUUACCUUUGCUGCAGCUAACAUAAAGGAGAUUAGUUCUUGUGCUGACUGAUGCAGGAUUCACAGAGACAGCUUCGGCUGGCCUUUGUAAACUCGAUCUCAAAUCAAGUAAGACUACCCGCUGAACUUAAGCAGAUCAAUAAGCGGAGGA
rnacentral:misc_RNA from 1 species